rnacentral:misc_RNA from 1 species
GAUGAAGAACGUAGCAAAAUGCGAUAAGUAAUGUGAAUUGCAGAAUUCAGUGAAUCAUCGAAUCUUUGAACGCACAUUGCGCCCGCUAGUAUUCUGGCGGGCAUGCCUGUUCGAGCGUCAUUUCAACCAUCAAGCCCCAGGCUUGUGUUGGGGGCCUGCGGCUGCCGCAGCCCCUGAAAAGCAGUGGCGGGCUCGCUGUCAUUCCGAGCGCAGUAGUUACAUCUCGCUCCGGGCGUGGCGGUGGGCACCUGCCGUGAAACACUCCUUCUAAGGUUGACCUCGGAUCAGGUAGGAAUACCCGCUGAACUUAAGCAUAUCAAUAAGCGGAGGA